GGCGCACAUUACGAAACAGAGAAGUUAAAAACCAAUCAGUCAGCUUACCAGAUUUUAUUAUUCACAUUUUACUGUACAACAGAAAGACAUGUAAAGGCCGAUACUGAAAUUGACCUUUAUUCUGAAAGCAACUCCACCAGCCUUAAACAAAGGCUUAUUACAACUAAAAAAGCCUUCUUAAAAAAUCCUACAGUGUUAGCAGGUGGUGCUAUGAAAAUGAAACUAAAAGACACAAGCAUCAAGUACCCUUCUCCUCUAAGAAGGUGAUAAAAUGGCUUUUGUUGUCAGGCCACGGAGCUGAGUGUAGGUCUGUAUUAUGUGGGUGUUGUGUCUCAUUCUCUCCACCAGGGUGCGACAGGCAGGUGUAGCUGCACAGCUGUUUUCCAUCAAGAGCAAUCACUGAGGAACCUCAAAAGCUUUCUGAGACCUUUGAGGUGGUGUUGGAUUGUUUGCUCAACUCGUGUGGUAAUUGGACCAACAAACCCUGCUCUGUUCUUGCCUUUGUCCUGACGGUUUCCUAACCCCAACUCUGUUCUCCUUCAAAGGUAACUGUCAGCUGAACCCUGCUCUGGAUUAACCUUCAAGGUUCUGCCUCAUUCUCUAUUGGCUGUCAGCACACCCUCAUCCUGGAAAACUUGCUGUGGUUCAGUUUCCUACAAAGCUGCUAAAUAUUUAAAUGAAUUUAAAUAUUUAAAUGAAUUUACCUCCCUGGAUCCACCAGAUCAGAUUGCAGAAUUACUGCUCGCUCUGCAUGCCCUGCCUGUCCAUUCUCCAACGCAACUCACCAGCUGGAGGACCCCCACUGACACAGCAUACCUGCCAACCUCAGCCUCCAUGGUUUGCUCACUUCUACCCAUCAACAUAUCCAUCAUAAAUGAGCCAAUCUCAGAAGCCUGACAGCUUCAGAGUCCUGACACGGCCAGAAAACAUUAUUUCCAUAAACCUGCUUAGACCUUUCCUGUCUCCAAGUUGUGCUGCUCAAGAGUCUCGCGGUUCUGAACCAAAUAUGACAUUUGUAGCAAGAAAGAUGGAUCAAUCUGCAUGUCUGAUGUGUUACUCAUUAAAAACGUCAUUGACAAAUAACAUUCAUUGAAA